GGACUGACCACGGACUCAGCAGGAGCAGGCGUGUGUCCUCCUGGCAAAGCAAGGCACAAGCAGGGUCACCACUGAUUUCAGCUACAUCUCUGGCUUCUGGAACAUGACUUUUGGAUCGCAGCAGGUUUGGCUGAUGACACCUGGGCUUCCAGAAAUCACGUGUACUAGUCAGUGUACACUAGAGUGAUUCAACACCUCCAGACAUUGCCCAGUGUUCAUCCUGACAAGGGACUCGUGAAUUCAUCACUUACUUUACCUCGCCCCCCCAACCGCCUCCCCGCUGAGUCGAAAUAAGGGGAUGACUUUACCAAGACCUGCAAAUUCCAUGAGGAAAAACUACUGCCUGUCAAUCAGCUGCUUUGACAGAAUUUGCUAAGAGAAUAAUUCCGAAUGGCCUGGGGAGUCGGAGCUGGUAGACACUGUUACAUGUAUGUGACCAAAGGAUUCUGCAAUUAGUUCAAUUUUUAACUCUACAACAGGUUGAUGAGGCUAUUCAGAUGGUGUUGUAAUAGUAUCAUUAAAGGUAUUCAAAGUAAAACACUGUGUGUUGCUCAGUCUUUAGAAUACAGAGGCAAAGUGAAA